UACGUAGGGUGCGAGCGUUAAUCGGAAUUACUGGGCGUAAAGCGUGCGCAGGCGGUUUUGUAAGCCAGAUGUGAAAUCCCCGGGCUUAACCUGGGAAUGGCAUUUGGGACUGCAAGGCUGGAGUUUGGCAGAGGAGACUGGAAUUCCCGGUGUAGCAGUGAAAUGCGUAGACAUCGGGAGGAAUACCGAUGGCGAAGGCAGGUCUCUGGGCUAUAACUGACGCUCAUGCACGAAAGCGUGGGGAGCAAACAGG
rnacentral:rRNA from 1 species